rnacentral:rRNA from 1 species
UACGGGGGGGGGCAAGCGUUGUUCGGAAUUACUGGGCGUAAAGGGCUCGUAGGUGGCCAACUAAGUCGGACGUGAAAUCCCUCGGCUUAACCGGGGAACUGCGUCCGAUACUGGUUGGCUUGAGUUUGGGAGAGGGAUGCGGAAUUCCAGGUGUAGCGGUGAAAUGCGUAGAUAUCUGGAGGAACACCGGUGGCGAAGGCGGCAUCCUGGACCAGGCAUUGACGCUGAGGCGCGAAAGCUGAGGGAGCAAAGC